rnacentral:rRNA from 1 species
UUUUGACUGUGCAAAGGUAGCAUAAUAAUUAGUUUUUUAAUUGAGGACUUGAAUGAAUGGGAAUAUGAAAAAUAUAUUUUAUUAAUUUUAUUUUUAUAAUUUAAUUUUUAGGUAAGAAAGCUUAAUAGUUUUUCCGGGACGAAAAGACCCUAUAGAACUUAAUUUUUUUAAUUUAAUUAAUUUUUUUAGUUUUAAUUUAUAUAAUUAAAUUAAAAUAUUUUUGUUGGGGUGAUAAAUAAAUUAAACUUUAUUUUUUAAUUUCAUUAAUUUAUGUUUUUUUGAUCCAUAAUUUUGAUUAAAAGAUUUAGUUACCUUAGGGAUAACAGCGUAAUUUUAAUGGAAAGUUCAUAUUUAUAUUAUAGUUUGSGACCUCGAUGUUGAAUUAAGAUAAGAUUAGGGGGUAG